AAAUAUUUCUUAGAAUUUUGACACUGGUGUUAUAGAAGUGAAACCUGUCAAAAAAAUUUUUAAAAGGCAUGAAUAUUUGCUGUACUUUUCAUACUAAUUUUAGAUUAUAUUCCACAAUACCAUUCUCUUGUGUCUGAAAUACAAUAAAAUUGUAGAGUACAACUUAGGUUUCUCCUAGAAUCCACAGAACAUUUGGAGCAAUGCUUCAAGCAAGCGGUCCCUCACAUUCAACUAUAAAUGGUAACUUUAUGUAGCCAUUGACAGAGAUUAUUCAAAAUCAGUUUGAGUCUGAGGAUGGAGUAAAAGCCCCAUUCCUAGAUACCCAGCACUCUGAAUCAGGCCUGUGAACUCAGGAAGCUGGUCUCUGUGGUGGGGCGCCCAUGGGGGUCACUGCACACUCUCGCGAGGUGUGUGUCAUCCAAGAGCUGUUCCUGUGACACAGGAAUAGCUCCUGGGUUGCCAUUUUUUCUUUAAUGUAUGUUAAAAUGCUGAAUGUAGGGCUGGGGAUUUAGCUCAGUGGUUUUGCCGCCUGCUGCGCAAGCACAAGGACCCGAGUUCGAUCCCUGGUACCAAAAAAAAAAAAAAGUGCUGAAUGUAUUUUAUGUAAUUAUAAGACCAUGUGUUCUGUUUCCUGAUCUGGAACCCCCAAAAUACUCUAUCCUCACCCGAAUUAUUAUUAUUCUAGAAACUGAUAGGGACAUUCACAACUGAAAAACUGAGGACCUUUUGACAAACAGUUGUACAACUUAGCAAACAAGCUUUAGUGAACAUUUUUUUAUCAUCAAAGAGAAUACAAACUAAUUAUAUUUUAUAAUAGAUAACUAUAAAUUCCUACUAAUAGGUAGUAUACAAUUGAGUUCCCAUUCUGCAGGGUUUUCCUGUUCCAAACUUUCAGAUGAGUCCUGUAUAUUCUGCAGUGAUGGUUUAAGAUUGAAGAUUUCCUUAAGUUUUCAUCAUAAACAGGUUCAGUUUAACUUCUUGAGAUGGAAGUGUGCAGUCUUUCCUUCUGCCUGUCACUUAAUGUCACGAUACUGCAAACAUCAACCUCAGAACCCUCUCUGGAACCUGGACUGCGAUCUGUGAGGCGUUUCCCCCUUACAUAUAGCUUUCUGUGCAGCUGUUAGAGCAUUCUGUCUUUCAGAGUGGAAUACUGAGUCAGUUCUCCAACUUCCCGUGUCGCAUUGGAGCAUCCAUGACCCGCGUCCUUCCACUGCCCCUGCCUGUCUCUCCUCUGGCCAUCUGAAGCUUCUGAGUGCUGUCUUUAGCUUUCUGUCUGACACCUGAGCAACAUUCAACUCCUAAAUCUCUUCCAAGUCCAAGCUUCCUUCCUCAUCGCCAUUACCACUGUUCUUACCCGGACCGCAUCACUUUGCUGCUUUCACCACAGCUCCUAUCUUGCUCUUGUCUCCAGUCUUUCCUUCUGGAAUCUAUUUUUCAGAGAUGCUCCCCUAGUGCAAGCUCCACCACAUCUCUUGUCCACUCCGAUGCUCUUCCUUGUCCCUGUGGGGUGAACGCCUUUCUUGGCAAUGCAUACACAGGGCUUGUCAUGCACUCUCACCCACAUGAAAAGUGUACUGUGAAAAUAUUAAACGAUGCGCUUCUCCCAUGUGCCAAGGCCCUCUUCCUGUCUCUGCAAACCGCAGUGCCGCCUCUAGCUCAACACAGCCUUUGCCACUACAACCCCCGCACCUACACAAUGUGGGCUCAAACACAGAUGACAGCGUGUUGAUACAUGAAAAGGACUUGAUUAUUAAAUAAAUCCAAACUCAAGAUUGUAUUUACGUAUUUAAUUUUAUUUAGUAUACACCACUAUGACCUUAUUGUAAUUGAAAUCCAUUACGGGAUUUUUAAAAUUUUAUUUUAUGAUUAGUCAACUCCACAAAGACAAUAAUACUGCUGUGGAAGACCAAAGGGAGAAAAAACCUGAUGUAUUUAUUUACAAUUCCCUAUGCUGUAAACAUGUAAUCUAUACACGGUUAUUAACUUAUAACGAGAGCAUUACAGA
rnacentral:lncRNA from 1 species